UACGUAGGGUGCAAGCGUUAAUCGGAAUUACUGGGCGUAAAGCGUGCGCAGGCGGUUGUGCAAGACAGAUGUGAAAUCCCCGGGCUUAACCUGGGAAUUGCAUUUGUGACUGCACAGCUAGAGUGUGUCAGAGGGGGGUAGAAUUCCACGUGUAGCAGUGAAAUGCGUAGAUAUGUGGAGGAAUACCGAUGGCGAAGGCAGCCCCCUGGGAUAACACUGACGCUCAGGCACGAAAGCGUGGGGAGCAAACAGG
rnacentral:rRNA from 1 species